rnacentral:rRNA from 1 species
GACGAACCGUGCGAACGUUGUUCGGAUUCACUGGGCUUAAAGGGCGCGUAGGCGGGCCAGCAUGUCCGGGGUGAAAUCUUUCGGCUUAACCGGAAAAGGGCUUCGGAAACGGCUGGUCUUGAGGGAGGUAGGGGCAGGUGGAACUUCCGGUGGAGCGGUGAAAUGCGUUGAGAUCGGAAGGAACGCCGGUGGCGAAGGCAGCUCGCUGGAACGGUACUGACGCUGGAGGCGCGAAAGCGUGGGGAGCAAACGGG